GCUUGUUCCCAAUUGUUGACAAGUCUGGAACAAGUUGUUUAAUUUAAUAUCUUGGUUGAUGAAGCCAUGUUGUUCCAGCAAGUCUGAUGACGUAAGAAGUUGAUGACAACAAACUCGUAGCAACUUGUUGUGAACAGCCUAUAUUAUAGUCUUGUAAUUAAACAAAAUGCUCCUUGUAUUACGACUUUAGUAGCGUCUUUUUAGGUCUAUUAAUGUUUAUUUUUUUUGUUUCUAUUUUUCAACUGUGUCGUUCAAUGCCAAAUAGACAAGAUUUUGCCGUUGUCUGUUCCAGUUAUAGAUACACAGUUUGACGCAUAGAUAUCUUAUAUACACUAGAUAGUGCAUCUAAUUAUUCUGCAAUUCAAAAAUUGAAGCCGUGAUUGCGGAUAUUCCCAUGAAAUGAGAAGACUCGUAUGUUUUCUACUUCUUAAACAGGGAACUUAAACAUUAAGUUAAACCUAUUCCAAAUACAUUUUCAAACUAUUCAAAUGAUGAAAGUCAGUUAUUGUUGUUAAGCGUUUAUUAGCGAGUGGGAAACGCCAACAUGGCCGCCAUCUAUUCAAAUGGG